rnacentral:lncRNA from 1 species
UUCAUUUUGUUCUUGACUUCUUUCAUUUUUUAUUUUUGUUUUUGUUACAAGUUAGUGUGAAUUUAUUGUGAAUUAAAAACCAAAAUAAAAAAACCAAACCGAAUUAAUAAAAACCUAAUCGAAAUAACAAAAACCGAACCGAACUGAAAUAUUUCAGUUUGGUAUUCGGCACACAAUUUACAAGAACCAAAAAUUGAAAAACCGAAAAAAAAACUGAAAUCGAACCGAAUACCAAAUGUUCACCCUAUAAUUGUAUAUAAAUGCUGAAAUUAUAUAUUUGGUUUGUAUAAGGUAUUUUGGGGAAUAAUUAGAAAUAAAAAGUACAACCAAAAAUAAAUAAAUAAACACAUAGAACUACGUACCAGAAAAUAGAAAUGGAUGUCUGUGUAUAUAAAAAUAAAUAUAGAUAUGUAUAAUAUGACAACAAAACUAUCAAAACGUAUACAAAUACUGAAAUAUAAACAAAUUGAUAUUUAUAAAUACUUGAGAUUCUUCAUAUACAAAUGAAAAAUAAAAUUAAGAAGUUUGUUGAAACACGUCUAGGCGGUUAAUUAGAAUUGAGAUGUCACGAUUAGGAGGGAGAAAAAGAGCAUUCAAAAUUCAAAUCUGGAGAAAAAUGAGGAAAGAUAAAUGUGAUUUGUAUAAAAAGGUAUGCAAAUCAUAAAGAAAGUCUUUUUUAUUUUUAAUACAAAUAAAUCUAAUGAAUCUCGAAUUUAAUAGCAAAUUUCAUUAAACUAUAGUCACGAUUCAUAAUCAUAUAAGAGGUAAAAAUUGUUCUGUUUUGCUUCACAUCAACUUUGAUUUGGUGUACCAAUUUUUCAAUGGCCUUUUGGAGUUCAUUUUUUAAGAAAUAUUUAGGUCCCUGUCAAAGCAACUCUAUAACUAUCACAACCAUCGGUUAUUGAUUUAUGGGAAAAUGAUUAAAUAUGUCCCUAAAUAAUUCGAAAGGUCUAGGUAUAUCCCGUUUAAAUUAUCAUAAUGAUGAAAUGAGUUGUUAUAUUAGAUGCUAGUUAAACAUAAGUUUAUUUCUAAAUGAAAAAAGAAGGAAAAAUAGAAGACUCACGAUAAAUAAUGAAUCGAUGAAUAAUUAGGAAUACUUCUUGCACAUGUCUGCUUCGGUAUCCCAAGUAGCCUCUUCAACCGAUUGGUUCAGUGAGGGUAUUAGAACAUUGAGGGGACUUUUUUCUAGUAUUAAAGAAUUGUAAAGGACACUCCCCCAGUGUACCAAUUAUCGUGUUCGAUCACAUGUAUAGAAUCAACUUGGCACUGGUUAUACAAUAAAUGAAAAUUCAAUCUGUAUACAAAUAUAACAUAGAGGUUUUUCAGCACUAACACAAGAUUAAUUUCAUGCACUAUCGUCUAUACUAAGCAUGUGUUGAUAACCUAAAAAUAAAGUGUUAGUGUGACAUUCUAAAUAAACUAAAGUUUGGAACAUAUGUGCAAUAUAUCAUAAAUUAAAGAGCAAACGAAAAUCACGUUAUGAUGACACUCCCAAGGAUACCCUACUUGUUGACCCCCCUGCAACUGUGUAGGAAAUUGAUCGCAAAUAUGAACAUGCAGAUUCUAGUCAUUAGGCCGAGUUUUUGACCUAAGUCAAGAAAUUGAACUAAUGCCUACAUCAACCGGUUGAUAUGUGCGAUCAAUUGCCUACUCACCUGCGGGGAUGAACUUAAGGAUUCCCUCGGAAAUGUUGUUAUUAUAAAAUGAUUGAGGUUUAUUUUUUAAUUUAUGACAUAUAGCGUAUAUGUUUCAAAUUUAGUCUAAUUAAAAUAUAUUUGGAUGUUAAAUUAUAUAUGUGCUAUCAUAAUAUAAACAGGACAAUCUGAUUUUUGUAUAUACAAUAAAAGGUAGAGUAAAGGUCUAUAUUGGCCAAUGGAUGUCAAGUUAUUGCAUUUGUUUUUCUACAUCCAGUGCCGAGUAUUAGAAUAUUGAGAGGACCUUUUCAUAUUACUAUAAGAUCAAGAAGGACACUCCUAUAAUGUAUCAAUUAUCAUUUUCGAUCAUAUGUAUAGGUUCAACUAGGUAUUGGUUAUGAAAUGAAUGAAAUUUUAAUUUAUAUACACAAAUAACACAGAUUUUUCAGCACUAACACGAGAUUAAUUACAUGUAGUUUCUUCUAUACUAAGCAUGUAUUGAUAACCUAAAAAAUAUAGUGUUAGUGUGACAUUCUAAAUAAAAUAAAUUUGGAACAUAUGUGCAGUAUAUCAUAAUUUAAAAACAAACGCAAAUCAUAUAAUGAGGACGCUCCCAAGGGUAUCCUACGUGUUGACCCCCCGCAACUGUGUAAGAAAUUGAUCGCAAAUAUGAACAUGCAGAUUCUAAUGAUUAGGCCGAGUAUUUGGCUUAAGUCAAGAACUUGAACUAAUGCCUACAAUGUACCAGUUGGUAUUUCCGAUCAAUUGCCUACUCAUAUGCUGGUGGAUCUACAUGUAGGAUACCCUUGGGUGUUGUCACCAUAAAAUGAUUGAGGUUUAUUUAUUAAUGUAUGAUAUAACUGUAUAUGUUUUAAAUUUAGUUUAAUUAGAAUAAAUUUAGAUGUUAAAUUAUAUAUGUGUUAUCAUAAUAGAUACGGGACAAUCUGAUUUUUGUAUAUAGAAUAAGAGGUUGAGUAAUCCAUAUUGGGCAAUGGAUGUCAAGCUAUUGCAAUUUUUUUUUAUUUUACAUCCAGUGCGGGUAUUAGAUCAUUGAGAGGACCUUUUCCUAGUAGUAGAGGAUCGAGAAGGACACUCUUCUAGUGUACCAAUUAUUGUGUUCGAUCACAUGUAUAGGAUCAACUGGUAUUGAUUAUCGAAUAAAUGAAAUUUCAGUUUAUAUACACUAAUAAUACAGAGAUUUUUCAGCACUAACACGAGACUAGUUACUUGUAGUAUCGUCUAUACUAAGCAUGUGUUGAUAGCCUAAAAAAUAUAGUGUUAGUGUGACAUUCUCAAUAAACUAAAUUUCGAACAUAUGUGCAGUAUAUCAUAAAUUAAAGGACAAACACAAAUCAUUUUAUAAGAACGCUCCCAAGGGUAUCUUACUUGUUGACCCCCCGCAACUGAGUAAUAAAUUGAUCGCAAAUAUGAACAUGCAGAUCCUAGUCAUUAGGCCGAGUUGUUGACUUAAGGUCAAGAACUUGAACUAAUGCCUAUAAUCUAUGGGUUGGUAUUUGCAAUCAAUUUCCUACUCACGUGUGGAUCAACAUGUAAGAUACCCUUAAGUGUAUUCAUCAUAACAUGAUUUGAGUUUUAUUUUUUAAUUUAUGAUAUAUAGCCUAUAUGUUUCAAAUUUAGUUUAAUUUGAAUUGAUUUGGAUGUUGAAUUAUAUAUGUGCUAUCAUAAUAUAUACGGGCUUCAUCUAUGUACCGUUCAAGUAUGGUACCGACCCUCCAACAUGUUCACAUAAACAAGAUUAUAGUAAUUUUUCACUCAAUUCUAGCUAUCCACGACAUAGCUACAAUCACUGUUUUUACACGACAAUACAAAAUUUCAUGAUAAGAAGAUACCCAACUCAUCUCUAUGAUGAUAUCAAAUUCACCAUAUUAAGGAUUACUGAAUUUUCCCUAGCUAAAUAACCUAUAAACAUCACAGGACAAUAAUGGUACACUUUAUCUACAAAGAUAGAGUUACCUACUAUGGUAGACACAUAAACAUGGGUAUCAAGGAAAUCAUAGACCCGUGUCUAUUUUAACCGCAAAUUUAACAGACACAUAAGAAAAAGCAGAGGCGGGAUCUAAUAAAAUAGUGGUCAUCUAGUCACACUUGAGAAAAGUACCUGUAAUAAAUGUGUGUAAUGCUUCUGCCUCUGGCCUUCCUGGAAAAGAAUAAAAUUAUGUCAUGUCGCUUGUUUGAGCACCACCCCUACCGUAAUGAGUACCUCCUCUACCAACUUAACACCUUCAGGACCUUCUGAUUAUAUUCCAUUUCUACCAGAAUGAUUGUCAUUGCAACCGCCUUAUAGACAACCUCUACCGUUCCAUCAUUUUACCUACUAGUGUGUGUUGAAUCCCCAAAAACGUAUAGAAUGACAAACAAGAAAUAUUUGUUAUAUAUGGAUCAAAUUUUCCUUAUACAAAAUUAAGGGUUACAUAUUUUUUGUAUAUAUAAGUUAAACUAUUUCCCUAACUUAAGAUUCUAUAUUGAUGAGUGUGGUAGUGGACACCCAUCUUCAUUUUUGGAUGUUAAUUCGGAUUAACUUAGUCAUCACCAAAAUUGGAACUUCCAUGAUAAAAAUACUUGAUUUGGUAUCAAAUUCUUCAUCACAAAUAAAAUCCAACUCAUUUCUUGAAUUUCUAUAGAUCAGGACGAUAUGUCAAACAAAGAAUUGUGGAGUGCCACCUUAGUGAGUCUUUAAGUAAAUACUUAAAAACAUAAUUAGACUGCUUUAAUAUAUGUUUAGUUUAUCUUCGUUCUCUAAUAAAAUACUCACUAGAGAUUUUCUUUAGUUUUUUAUUUGUUUUCUUAUACUCAUAUUGGAACACAAUUGGAAAAGUUUAUUUCUAUAUGCUCCUCCACGACAAUUAUUCAACCAUAUGAGGGAAGAAAAGCAUGCCAAUGAAUCUGAUUGAUAGGUUUUAAAAUCAAUUUAAUAAUUGAAAUCUAUCUGACCUAAAUUAUUUAACCCACCAAAAAGGAUGAGACAAAAUGGGAGGAUCUUGGGUCAAGAUAAGACAUUUAAACCUAGAAAAAGUUAACACUCUUUCAAGGAGGCAUGUCAAAGCUAUCCAUUCACUCCAAUUGAGGACCAACCUACAGGAAGACAAAAGCUAGAGAGCAAAGAAGGAAAAAUGAGAACUUGCCAAAGUGAAGAAGAAUCUCUUCAAUAGAUAAGAUUUGUCAGCAAAUUAGGAGCACAAUCCAUAUAACCUGAGAGCAGACACAACUGAAGAGGGGAAAAUGGUUAUUAGCAAGACGAUAUGGAAUAAUACAGGGACGAAGGUACUUACUCUUGUUAGCUGGCACACCAACACGAAAGAAUAGAAGUUCUGGACUGUUGAUAAUCCAUAGCAAUAGAAAUCAAAGGCUUGGAUUAGUCCAAGGCGACAACAUAUCUCAUAAGAAAAGAGGCAGAGAAAGAGGCGAGAAGCCAAAGAAGAUAGUGAGGGGAGUUUUGUUUUUUAUAAAACCCUACUUUAGAUGUCUAUAUAUCGCCCCAUCUGGUUAUGAGUUGGAC